UACGGAGGGGGCUAGCGUUGUUCGGAAUUACUGGGCGUAAAGCGCGCGUAGGCGGCUUUGUAAAUUAGAGGUGAAAGCCCGGGGCUCAACCCCGGAAUUGCCUUUAAGACUGCAUCGCUAGAAUCAUGGAGAGGUUAGUGGAAUUCCGAGUGUAGAGGUGAAAUUCGUAGAUAUUCGGAAGAACACCAGUGGCGAAGGCGACUAACUGGACAUGUAUUGACGCUGAGGUGCGAAAGCGUGGGGAGCAAACAGG
rnacentral:rRNA from 1 species